rnacentral:rRNA from 1 species
GACGAACGCUGGCGGCGUGCCUAAUACAUGCAAGUAGAACGCUGAAGGAGGAGCUUGCUUCUCCGGAUGAGUUGCGAACGGGUGAGUAACGCGUAGGUAACCUGCCUGGUAGCGGGGGAUAACUAUUGGAAACGAUAGCUAAUACCGCAUAACAGUAGAUAUUGCAUGAUAUCUGCUUGAAAGGUGCAAUUGCAUCACUACCAGAUGGACCUGCGUUGUAUUAGCUAGUUGGUGAGGUAACGGCUCACCAAGGCGACGAUACAUAGCCGACCUGAGAGGGUGAUCGGCCACACUGGGACUGAGACACGGCCCAGACUCCUACGGGAGGCAGCAGUAGGGAAUCUUCGGCAAUGGACGGAAGUCUGACCGAGCAACGCCGCGUGAGUGAAGAAGGGUUUCGGAUCGUAAAGCUCUGUUGUAAGAGAAGAACGAGUGUGAGAGUGGAAAGUUCACACUGUGACGGUAGCUUACCAGAAAGGGACGGCUAACUACGUG